rnacentral:piRNA from 1 species
UGAUAAGUAGCAUUCCUCAGUAGGUAUCCCA